rnacentral:rRNA from 1 species
UGCCACUCUUAACGGGGUGGCUUUUCAGAAGUGUAAAAAGCUUCCGGAAUAAGGGCUGGGCAAGACCGGUGCCAGCCGCCGCGGUAACACCGGCAGCUCAAGUGGUAGCCGCUUUUAUUGGGCCUAAGCGUCCGUAGCCGGUCUGAUAAGUCUCUGGUGAAAUCCCACAGCUUAACUGUGGGAAUUGCUGGAGAUACUAUCAUGACUCGAGGUCGGGAGAGGCUGGAGGUACUCCCAGGGUAGGGGUGAAAUCCUGUAAUCCUGGGAGGACCACCUGUGGCGAAGGCGUCCAGCUGGAACGAACCUGACGGUGAGGGACGAAAGCCAGGGGCGCGAACCGGAUUAGAUACCCGGGUAGUCCUGGCCGUAAACGAUGUGGACUUGGUGUUGAGAUGGCUUCGAGCUGCCCCAGUGCCGAAGGGAAGCUGUUAAGUCCACCGCCUGGGAAGUACGGCCGCA